rnacentral:rRNA from 1 species
UACGUAGGGUGCGAGCGUUGUCCGGAAUUAUUGGGCGGAAAGGGCUCGUAGGCGGUUUGUCGCGUCGGAUGCGAAAUUUUAGGGCUCAACCCUGACAUUGCAUCCGAUACGGGCAGGCUAGAGUUCGGUAGGGGAGACUGGAAUUCCUGGUGUAGCGGUGAAAUGCGCAGAUAUCAGGAGGAACACCGGUGGCGAAGGCGGGUCUCUGGGCCGAUACUGACGCUGAGGAGCGAAAGCGUGGGGAGCGAACAGG